CCUCUAAUUUAAAUUUCACUUUUAAAUUUUAAGUAUUUAAUUUUUUCUAAAUUAAUGCCUAAUAAUUGCAUAAAUUUGGUUAAUCAAUUAAUUUUCUAAAGUAGUGCUAAUUAAUGCAUAAAUUUAGGACCUCAAUUAAUUAAAAGUUUCUUUAAAUAUUGUAUUAUUUAAUUACCAAACUAAUCUUGAAUAAAAUAAUUCUUUUACCUGCUAAAUAUUAAAGUUAUAUUUUUACCCUAUAUUAAUCAACGGUUAAGAUUUUUUUUAUUUAAUUUUUUAAAAAGUACCGAAUCAUUUCUCAUAAUCUUAUAUCUCAUUCAUUCAAUAGCCAUUCUUCUCCCUACUCAUUUUACCACGUUUUUUUUUUUUUUUUUUAAAUUACUUAGCUUUUAAAAAGGCCGGUAAAUCCUACAAACCUUUGGAUGAGGGGAUAUUAUUAAAUUUAAUUUAAUAAGAGGCCCGUAAAAAUAAUCUAUAAAAAUAUCUAGCUUGUCUAACAAUCCUUUUAUUUAGAGUAUUAUUUGACCAACUAUUUCUAUUAUUAUCAACUCAGUGUCAUAUUAGACGAGAAUAAGAAAGAUUCACAAAUAAGAAAAGACUGUGUAGAAAUCUGUGAAAAAAUUCACAAAUGAGAAAAAAAGGAUGGUAAAGAAAAGCGGUGAAUCAUUCCCAUUUUUAACUAAUUAUUGUUGUUUAUAGAUUCUUUUUGUAUUGAUUGUGAAGAUCUUAUCAUUUCCAAUUUCAAAUUAUUAUUGUUGUUUAUAGAUUAUUUUGUAUUGAUUGUGAGGAUUUUUGUAAUAUUGUUUAGAUAUUUUUAUAUCGGCGAUGAGGAUUUUUAUAAGGUUGUUAGAACUUAGAAGUGUAUGUAGAUUAUUAAAAUUUUUAUUUGUUUUGAUUAUUAAGAUUGUAUAAAUAUAUUGUUGGGAUAUUUUAGAUAGUUAAGAUUGUGCAUGAUUUAUUAUCAUUUUUACAUGGAUAUUAAAUUUUCUAAAAAAAUUAGAAGAAAUAAUAAAUUAU
rnacentral:lncRNA from 1 species